ACGACACCGGUUCACGGCGGCACCCACCCGGGGUGCCGGCGACCCGGCGUC
ncrna:unclassified sequences L31-Actinobacteria ribosomal protein leader